rnacentral:ncRNA from 2 species
ACCUCAUCCAGAGGGGCUGAGGGAUACGGCCCGAUGACGCCCCGGCAACCACCGCGCUCGACUCGAUGACGAGGCCAGCGCGCGGCAGGUGCUAAUUCCGUCCCGGAGCCGCCGACCGUGCCCGGGAAAGAUGAGAA